AUGGUAAUAUGUACGAACUUUCUCCAUAUAAAUCAGAUUCGAAUUAUUAUAAAAAAGAAAUACCACAAAAGGAAGAAAAAACAAAUGACCAAUGGUUUUUGUCAAAAAUAUUUUCUCCCAGUAAAAAUUACGAACAAAUUAAUAUCGAAAUGGGUCAUAAUACUCCUACUGCUGGCAAUGGUCUUGGCAAUAGCCUUGGUAAUAGUCCUGACAAUGGUCCUGACAGUGGUAGUAGAAGUAGUAGUAACAGCAGCAACAGCAACAGCAACAGCAGCAACAGCAACAGCAGUAGCAGUAGUGACUAUAAUAAAAGGACUAAAAAAAAAAAGUUCUAAACAUUAUAAAACUAACCAAACGACAUCAACAAACACAAUUAGUAAAUAUAAUACCACACCUAAUCACAACACAACAAAUAAUAAAAAUAAAAUCUCAAAUUACACUGAUGAAGUUCAUUUUUUUUUAUCAUCUAUGAUGAAUAUUAUAAGUAUACUAUCAGAUCGUAUUAAAUUUAGUUUUUAUAACAUUGCAAAAAUUAAUUGUUUAGCUAUAUUAGAAGAAUGUUAUUUAUAUAUAGAAUUAUUAACAAAAUUUUCUUAUUUUUGUAGUAUAUAUAAUAUAAACAAUUUUAUUAUUUCUUUGAUGAAUAAACGUGUAGAACAUCACCUAUGUUAUUUAAAUAGUGUUCUAGAAAAAUUUAUUUACGAAAAAAGUGUAAUUAUUAAACCUUACAGUCUAUAUGAAAUGGCUGCAUCAGUAAAUUUAUCACAUAGUUCGCAUUCAGAGAUGGGACAAGAAAUAAAUUCGGAGGUGGGACAAACAUCUUGGACUCCAUCUAGUUCAAAAAAAGAGAAACCCAAAAAAUAUAGUCAUAAUGAAUUGUCUCUAUUUACCCAACGAGUUUUAUAUAUAACCUACAAAUCUAUACUUAAUUAUACAACUAUACUUUUAAAUAUUAUUAACAAUAAAUUUUUUAAAGUUUCUUAUUUUGUAAUACAUUUUUAUAUAUUAAUAUUAAAAUCAACUCGACUGGUUACAACUAUAAUUGAAAAUUUUGGAAAAAGGAACACAACUCUUAUAAGAACGAUAAAAUACAAGGGAGGAAUCUCGUACGUACCUAUAUGCCUAAAUAUUGUAAAUUCAAUGAAAGAAAAGAAAAAAAGAAAAAAUCCAUUAUAUAAGAGGUACUACUAA
rnacentral:lncRNA from 1 species